rnacentral:rRNA from 1 species
UACGGGGGGGGCAAGCGUUGUUCGGAAUUACUGGGCGUAAAGGGCUCGUAGGCGGCCAACUAAGUCCGGCGUGAAAUCCCCAGGCUUAACCUGGGAACUGCGUCGGAUACUGGAUGGCUUGAAUCCGGGAGAGGGAUGCGGAAUUCCAGGUGUAGCGGUGAAAUGCGUAGAUAUCUGGAGGAACACCGGUGGCGAAGGCGGCAUCCUGGACCGGCAUUGACGCUGAGGAGCGGAAGCCAGGGGAGCAAACGGG